UACGUAGGUGGCAAGCGUUGUCCGGAUUUAUUGGGUUUAAAGGGUGCGUAGGCGGCUUUGUAAGUCAGUGGUGAAAUAUGGCAGCUCAACUGUCAAGGUGCCAUUGAUACUGCGGAGCUUGAGUACAGAUGAGGUAGGCGGAAUUGACGGUGUAGCGGUGAAAUGCUUAGAUAUCGUCAAGAACACCGAUAGCGAAGGCAGCUUACCAAGCUCAAACUGACACUGAUGCACGAAAGUGUGGGGAUCAAACAGG
rnacentral:rRNA from 1 species